rnacentral:rRNA from 1 species
AGCUCCAAUAGCGUAUAUUAAAGUUGUUGCAGUUAAAAAGCUCGUAGUUGGAUUUCUGGUAGUGGGCAAGAGUUCGUUGCACGUUACUCGCGUUCAUUGCCAUCCUUCUGUUAACCUAUCAGGGCAUUCUAUUGUCAGUUAGGGGCUCAGAUAUUUUACCUUGAGAAAAUUAGAGUGUUUCAGGCAGGCUUGUGCCCGGAUACAUUAGCAUGGAAUAAUGGAAUAGGACUUUAGCCUCUUCUGUUGGUCUGAGGGGUUGAAGUAAUGAUUAAUAGGGAUAGUUGGGGGCAUUAGUACUUAACUGUCAGAGGUGAAAUUCUCGGAUUUGUUAAAGACUAACUUAUGCGAAAGCAUUUGCCAAGGAUGUUU